GACGCAGUAGGAUAGGCGAAGCGUGCUGUUGGAGUGCACGUCCAAGCAGUGAGAUUGAGUGUUAGGCAAAUCCGGCACUCUUAAGAUUGAGCUGUGAUGGGGAGAGGAACUUGUUCCUCGAGUCGUUGAUUUCACACUGCCGAGAAAAGCCUCUAGCUAGAAUAACGGUGCCCGUACCGCAAACCGACACAGGUAGUCAAGAUGAGAAUUCUAAGGUGAGCGAGCGAACUCUCGUUAAGGAACUCGGCAAAAUGACCCCGUAACUUCGGGAGAAGGGGUGCUCUUUGAGGUUCACGCUUCGAAGAGCCGCAGUGAAUAGGCCCAAGCGACUGUUUAUCAAAAACACAGGUCUCUGCUAAACCGUAAGGUGACGUAUAGGGGCUGACGCCUGCCCGGUGCUGGAAGGUUAAGAGGAGUGGUUAGCGCAAGCGAAGCUACGAAUCGAAGCCCCAGUAAACGGCGGCCGUAACUAUAACGGUCCUAAGGUAGCGAAAUUCCUUGUCGGGUAAGUUCCGACCCGCACGAAAGGCGUAACGAUUUGGGCACUGUCUCAACGAGAGACUCGGUGAAAUCAUAGUACCGGUGAAGAUGCCGGUUACCCGCGACAGGACGGAAAGACCCCGUGGAGCUUUACUGUAGCCUGAUAUUGAAAUUCGGUACAGUUUGUACAGGAUAGGUAGGAGCCUUAGAAGCGUGAGCGCUAGCUUACGUGGAGGCAUUGGUGGGAUACUACCCUAAUUGUAUUGGAUUUCUAACCCGCAGCACUUAUCGUGCUGGGAGACAGUGUCAGGCGGGCAGUUUGACUGGGGCGGUCGCCUCCUAAAGAGUAACGGAGGCGCUCAAAGGUUCCCUCAGAAUGGUUGGAAA
rnacentral:rRNA from 1 species